CAUCUUUUAGACUUUAUGUCGACUAUACAUAAAAUCCAAACUACAUGAUCAUGUUGUUUGAUUAAUAGCUUGAGCUUGAUCACAACUUUUAAUUGGAAUCAGGAUGCACGUGCCAUCUUCCACCUUGUAGUACAUAAAUCCCUAUAGUGCUAGUGGCAGCAUCUAUAGAGUCUCUAGGCAUGGAGGUGGUGGAAGACAAGGCUCUCUAACUAGUCAUUGUUUGUUCAAGUUUUGUGGUGGCCAUGCAUUGGAUGCUCUUAUCAAAAUGCUUCUUGUUGUAUGAUGGGUGAUGAUCAGACUUGAAAAUUUGUUUUUGGAAUUUG
rnacentral:lncRNA from 1 species